ACACACUUCUCACUAGUGCCUUGCCUUGGAUGAAGUCGUAGACCAGCACCUGCUAACUACAGGUUUUCAAGUGCAUUUGUCCUGUCGUUUUGCUCGGCACUGGAGCCUUGACUACAGCGGCCCACGCCGAUUUCUCACGCUUCACCAGUGGACGUACACGUCUUGCUAGCCUUGCAUUUCUACGUCAACGGCAGCUUCCAGUCCACAGACGUCUUUUGCCUGUGGCUGCAGAGCACAUUGGAUUCCCGAUGACGCUGACGGCUGCUAAUAUCGUUGUGCCAUCGAUCGCAGACUUUCGUAAGGUCCUGGAAUCCAUCGAUUGCAAGCACUGGCAAAUCAAGCCACCUUAUGACUUGGAGCACCUGUACAGAAAUAGGAAGGACUUGUGCUCCCUAAAUGUACAAGUCUUUCGCAAUGGUAGGGGUGUCAUCAUCCAGCCGACCUCAAAGGGGCCUGGAAGCACGCAUGGCAGCCUCAUCUGAAUGGACUGUGCUCUUCCUGGGAGCUUCAAGGGCAGAAAACUGCCUAAUGGCUGGUUGCUAGGUGACUCUCCCUAUGCCUGAGAGCCAUGGGUGCUCACCCUCCGGUCCGUGGCUGGCCCAGCUGAGCAGCAGUGCAGUGCAGCCCCCACCCAUGCAAGACAAGUCAUACAGUGCACAUUUGGUGUUCUGAGCACGACACAGCAUAUCCGUCCGGCAUGGCAUUG